CAGAAGCGAUGAAGUAUGAACAAAGCUAUUAGAGGAAGCAAAAGGUGUGAGUGUGUGAGUAGAACAAAGGGAUAUACUAUUAAUGGGUUCCAUCUUUAGGUCAGUCAACCUAAGGUAGAAGGUUCAUGCAUACAAAUUUACGAGGUGAGAUUUUCAGAGGGAAAAACUCUAGUACUCAGAAGGUACAAAACUUCUGACGUGCAGGGCCGAUUUUGAGUCGAUGUGAAUCGGAAUCUGCAGAAACCGAUUCCGAUUUCUGGUUUUAAAACCCUAGCAACGGUCAUCUUCGACCUUCUCUCCUCUCUCUCUCUUUCUGUGUUUUUUUCUGAGUACUGGUUCUUCGAGCUUACUGGGAACGGAAUGGAAUGGAAAGUAAGGGGGGAAGAUUAGGCGUGUCGAGGCUGAAGAGAGAGGAGUGUAAACGCACCAAACACGACUCCGUCUUCUCUAAAUGGAAGAUUCUGAUUGGACCUUCUGAUUGGGAGAAUUUUUCGUUGGGAAAGGAAGGUACAGAGAGGUACCGAACACACAACCUACCUGUAAGUUGUUCAUGUUCUGGGCUGUAUGAACUCGGCAUAUCGACAUCCCUCACCGGCUUCGAUGAUCAUGGCGGAGAUGGACGAGAAGGAGGAGAGCGGAGGAGUCUUCGCGGGCUUGAUCCAGAUGGAAUAAUAGUAGCGUACCUGGGACAAGCCGACAAUGUGAGGACAAGACUACAGCAUUACGGCCGGGCUGGUUCUCAUCUUGGCCAUGGCAACUGGGUUGGUCGUUUCGAUCAAGAGGAAAAGGUCCCUUGUUUCGCUAGUGGAGGUCCUGGAUUGUUUCAAGAGAUCUUCUCCAGGGGUUUUCCCAUCGUAUUUAGAUGGGCUUCGAUGGAAAACAAGAAGGAAGCUGAGAGAACUGAAGCUCUAUUGCUUGGGGUUUUUGAUUAUGCAUGGAAUAAAGGUGGAAAUGGUCCUCGACGCCCUAAUGAUAUCCUUGUAAAACUAGAUAGAAUAAUUUCAAAAACUACCAUACUUCCAAACAUCGCCAGAAAGCUCCAAGAAUGGAAGAGGCAUCACCCUUUCCCUCAGAAGCAAAUGGGAAUCAGGAUCAAAGACAGCCCAUCGCCUGCUUCAGAUGCUGAAUCCAUUAUCUGUAGUGAUGAGAAGCCUAACAAUCUCCUUUCCUGGGUUUGCAAAUUUGGCAGAUCACAGCCUCAAAUACUUAAGCAAGAAUGCAGUGAUGAGGACGACCAUGGUAGCAUUUGCGGAGUGGCUUUAGGUGAUGGAUCUGUUUGUAGAAACAAGCCCGUUGAAGGAAGAAAAAGAUGUGGGCAGCAUAAAGGGAAGAGAAUUAAUGGGUCAAUCUCUGAGUCAGUAACAAAGGGAAAAUUACAAAUACAUGGUGCGGGCUUAGAUGGAGGGUCUAUCUGUGUGGAAGUUCCAGUACUUGAUAGGAGUAAGACUAGAGGGGAUUCUAAGCUUGAGAAUCUUCCUUCCCAGGUUUUUAAACUUGAGAGACUGCAGCCUCCCUUGAUGAUGGAAAAAUAUAGUCUUAAUGAGGACUGCACCCUAUGUGGGGUGAUUUUAGGAGAUGGGUCUGUUUGCAGAGCCAAACCUGUCAAAGGCAGGAAAAGGUGCGAGCAGCAUAAAGGAAAGAGGAUGAGUACCUCCAUCUCAAAGUCAUUGCUGAAAGGGAAUGAUUUGGGCCUUGAAAUUGGAUCUGGCGAUAUGGAAACUUCACUAUAUGGAAGCAAGAUCAGUACCAGUGGAGAUUGGGAACUUGAUAAACUGUGUCCUCAGGUUGUAAAACAUGAUAGACUGCGGCCUCAACUAGUGACUGGAAGAUGUGUUUCUGUUGAGAACUAUACUAUUUGUGGUGUAGCUUUAGGUGAUGGAUCUGUUUGUAAUAACAAACCUGUCCAGGGAAGAAAAAGAUGUGCAGAACAUAAAGGAAAGAGGACUAGUAAAUGAACUGCAAAGUUUAGUAACACAAGUAACACUGGAUCUGUGCAGGAUGGGCUUGGAAGAUGGAUCAAUUUGUAUGGAAGUUCCAGUACAUUGAAGGAACAGGUGUGAAUUGCAUAAUUGGAAGGAGGGCUACCCCACCUUAGCUACAUAUCAUUCUUGAAAGAAACUUGAUGAGAUGAAAGUACUUCAUUAGGAAAAUUACACUGAUUCCAGUACUAGAUGUGUGACAUUUUUAUGCCUAGUGUAUUAUUAUCUGGGGAAGCUGCUAGAUUAUCUGGAGGAAUCAGGUCAUGAACCCUCUAGAUCACGAGUACAAACAGCAAACACAAGAAUCAAAUGCAUAGACUGUCUUCUCAUGCCAUCCUCAAGUGGUUCAUUGGCUGGGGAGUUGCUAUAUCCAUUAGGAUGAGGAAUUCAGUGAUGGGAAGUAUUGCAUCUCCUUCAUCUUUCUUGUUUCCUUUUUCACUCACCUUGUUUAUCUAUUUCAUGUUCCAAAGAUUUUUCCUAGUUCUGGCUAUGACCUUGAAAGAAAAUGUGGGUCUAAUCCAUUAAGAAUCUCAAAAUUCAGAAUGUUAUUUUAUUAAAAUAAUGAUGGUAUCUUCAUCAUUGG